rfam:Schistosoma mansoni, Puerto Rico, WGS project CABG01000000 data, contig: 0010
AUCCAGCUGAUGAGUUCCAAAUAGGACGAAACGCGCGUCCUGGAU